rnacentral:rRNA from 1 species
CAGUCGCCACGGUAAUACGUAGGGUGCAAGCGUUAAUCGGAAUUACUGGGCGUAAAGCGUGCGCAGGCGGUUAUAUAAGACAGAUGUGAAAUCCCCGGGCUCAACCUGGGAACUGCAUUUGUGACUGUAUAGCUAGAGUACGGCAGAGGGGGAUGGAAUUCCGCGUGUAGCAGUGAAAUGCGUAGAUAUGCGGAGGAACACCGAUGGCGAAGGCAAUCCCCUGGGCCUGUACUGACGCUCAUGCACGAAAGCGUGGGGAGCAAACAGGAUUAGAUACCCCAUAGUCCCUGUCUCUUAUACA